UAUGGUCAAGUGACUAAGCGUAUACGGUGGAUGCCUUGGCAGCUAGAGGCGAUGAAAGACGUUGGAGCUUGCGAUAAGUCCGGGGGAGGUAGCAACCACCCAUUGAUCCCGGAAUUUCUGAAUGGGGAAACCCACCUAACAUAAGUUAGGUAUCUUCUUACUGAAUAUAUAGGUUUGAAGAGGCGAACUGGGGGAACUGAAACAUCUAAGUACCCCAAGGAAUAGAAAUCAAUUGAGAUUCCCUGAGUAGCGGCGAGCGAAAGGGGAUCAGCCUGCAAGUAAUAGCAGACGUGUUAGUGGAAUGGUCUGGAAAGUCCAGCGAUACAGGGUGAUAGCCCCGUACACGAAAACGCGACUGUGGUACUAAGCUUGCGACAAGUAGGUCGGGACACGAGAAAUCUUGACUGAAUAUGGGGGGACCAUCCUCCAAGGCUAAAUACUCCUAGCUGACCGAUAGUGAACCAGUACCGUGAGGGAAAGGCGAAAAGAACCCCGGAGAGGGGAGUGAAAUAGAUCCUGAAACCGUAUACGUACAAGCAGUGGGAGCAGACUUGUUCUGUGACUGCGUACCUUUUGUAUAAUGGGUCAGCGACUUAAUGUCAGUAGCAAGGUUAACCACUUAGGGGAGCCGUAGGGAAACCGAGUCUUAAUAGGGCGAAUUAGUUGCUGGCAUUAGACCCGAAACCCGGCGAUCUAUCCAUGGGCAGGUUGAAGGUUGAGUAACAUCAACUGGAGGACCGAACCCACCUAUGUUGAAAAAUGGGGGGAUGACUUGUGGAUCGGAGUGAAAGGCUAAUCAAGCCGGGAGAUAGCUGGUUCUCCUCGAAAUCUAUUUAGGUAGAGCGUCGUAUAUUACCCACGGGGGUAGAGCACUGUUUGGGCUAGGGGGUCAUCCCGACUUACCAACCCCAUGCAAACUCCGAAUACCGUGGAGUAGCAGUACGGCAGACACACUGCGGGUGCUAACGUCCGUAGUGGAAAGGGAAACAACCCAGACCGCCAGCUAAGGUCCCAAAUAUCAGUUAAGUGGGAAACGAUGUGGGAAGGCUUAGACAGCUAGGAGGUUGGCUUAGAAGCAGCCAUCCUUUAAAGAAAGCGUAAUAGCUCACUAGUCGAGUCGGCCUGCGCGGAAGAUGUAACGGGGCUCAAACUGAUAACCGAAGCUGCGGAUACUUGCUUGCAAGUAUGGUAGAGGAGCGUUCUGUAAGCCGUCGAAGGUGAACUGUGAAGUUUGCUGGAGGUAUCAGAAGUGCGAAUGCUGACAUGAGUAACGAUAAGGGGAGUGAAAAACUUCCCCGCCGGAAGAUCAAGGUUUCCUGCUCAACGCUAAUCGGAGCAGGGUUAGUCGACCCCUAAGGUGAGGCAGAAAUGCGUAAUCGAUGGGAAACAGGUUAAUAUUCCUGUACUUCUAUAUAGUGCGAUGGAGGGACGGAGUAGGCUAGGCCAGCGCGGCGUUUGGUUGUCCGCGUUUAAGGUUGUAGGUUGGUGACUUAGGAAAAUCCGGGUCGCUAAGACUGAGAACCGAUGACGAGCUCUUACGCAAGUUCGAGCGAAGUGGUCGAUGCCAUGCUUCCAAGAAAAGCUUCUAAGCUUCAGCUAUAUAGGAAUCGUACCCCAAACCGACACAGGUGAUCAGGUAGAGAAUACCAAGGCGCUUGAGAGAACUCGGGUGAAGGAACUAGGCAAAAUGGCACCGUAACUUCGGGAGAAGGUGCGCCGCUGACGGUGAUGGAAUUUACUUCCUAAGCUGUCGGUGGUCGAAGAUACCAGGUGGCUGCAACUGUUUAUUAAAAACACAGCACUCUGCAAACACGUAAGUGGACGUAUAGGGUGUGACGCCUGCCCGGUGCCGGAAGGUUAAUUGAUGGGGUUAGACUUCGGUCGAAGCUCUUGAUCGAAGCCCCGGUAAACGGCGGCCGUAACUAUAACGGUCCUAAGGUAGCGAAAUUCCUUGUCGGGUAAGUUCCGACCUGCACGAAUGGCGUAAUGAUGGCCACGCUGUCUCCACCCGAGACUCAGUGAAAUUGAAUUCGCAGUUAAGAUGCUGUGUACCCGCGGCUAGACGGAAAGACCCCGUGAACCUUUACUAUAGCUUGGCACUGAACUCUGAACAUAUCUGUGUAGGAUAGGUGGGAGGCUUUGAAACUGUGUCGCCAGAUGCAGUGGAGCCAACCUUGAAAUACCACCCUGAUAUGUUUGGGGUUCUAACUCAGGUCCCUUAUCGGGAUCGAGGACAGUGUCUGGUGGGUAGUUUGACUGGGGCGGUCUCCUCCCAAAGAGUAACGGAGGAGCACGAAGGUACGCUAAUCAUGGUCGGAAAUCAUGAGUUUAGUGCAAAGGCAUAAGCGUGCUUGACUGCGAGACUGACAAGUCGAGCAGGUACGAAAGUAGGUCUUAGUGAUCCGGUGGUUCUGUAUGGAAGGGCCAUCGCUCAACGGAUAAAAGGUACUCCGGGGAUAACAGGCUGAUACCGCCCAAGAGUUCACAUCGACGGCGGUGUUUGGCACCUCGAUGUCGGCUCAUCACAUCCUGGGGCUGAAGCCGGUCCCAAGGGUAUGGCUGUUCGCCAUUUAAAGUGGUACGCGAGCUGGGUUUAGAACGUCGUGAGACAGUUCGGUCCCUAUCUGCCGUGGGCGUUGGAGAAUUGAGAAGAGCUGCUUCUAGUACGAGAGGACCGAAGUGGACGAACCCCUGGUGUUCCGGUUGUCACGCCAGUGGCAUUGCCGGGUAGCUACGUUCGGACGGGAUAACCGCUGAAAGCAUCUAAGCGGGAAGCCUCCUUCAAGAUAAGUUCUCCCUGAGGGUUUAACCCUCCUUAAGGGCCGUUGAAGACUACGACGUUGAUAGGUCAGGUGUGUAAGUGCUGUGAGGCAUUGAGCUAACUGAUACUAAUUGCCCGUGAGGCUUGACCAUAUAACCCAAGUGCUUGGGUUAU
rnacentral:rRNA from 1 species